rnacentral:rRNA from 1 species
UACAGAGGGAGCUAGCGUUAUUCGGAAUGAUUGGGCGUAAAGGACGCGUAGGCGGCCUUGUAAGUCUUUAGUGAAAUCCCCGGGCUCAACCCGGGAACUACUUGAGAUACUGCAUGGCUAGAGUAUGGGAGAGGCAAGUGGAAGCUUUGGUGUAGAGGUGAAAUUCUUAGAUAUCAGAGAGAACGUCAGUGGCGAAAGCGACUUGCUGGAACAUUUCUGACGCUGAGGCGUGAAAGCGUAGGGAGCAAAUCGG